rnacentral:rRNA from 1 species
GAUGAGCGCUGGCGGCGUGCCUAAUACAUGCAAGUCGAGCGAGCAGACGAGGAGCUUGCUCCUCUGACGUUAGCGGCGGACGGGUGAGUAACACGUGGAUAACCUACCUAUAAGACUGGGAUAACUUCGGGAAACCGGAGCUAAUACCGGAUAAUAUAUUGAACCGCAUGGUUCAAUAGUGAAAGACGGUUUUGCUGUCACUUAUAGAUGGAUCCGCGCCGCAUUAGCUAGUUGGUAAGGUAACGGCUUACCAAGGCGACGAUGCGUAGCCGACCUGAGAGGGUGAUCGGCCAUACUGGAACUGAGACACGGUCCAGACUCCUACGGGAGGCAGCAGUAGGGAAUCUUCCGCAAUGGGCGAAAGCCUGACGGAGCAACGCCGCGUGAGUGAUGAAGGUCUUCGGAUCGUAAAACUCUGUUAUUAGGGAAGAACAAAUGUGUAAGUAACUAUGCACGUCUUGACGGUACCUAAUCAGAAAGCCACGGCUAACUACGUG